AUCCGGCUGACCAGUUCCAAAUAGGACGAAACGCACGUUCUGGAU
rnacentral:hammerhead_ribozyme from 1 species